rnacentral:lncRNA from 1 species
UCGAUUAGAGCUGUGACAGAGUAUAUAGAUUGGUUUGGUAAGUUGAGGUGAUACCAUUGCAGGGUUGGUCUCGUCAAAAUUGAGCUGAUACCCUUGCACAUGGUUGUCUGGAUCACUGGUUCCAUCGCACAUUCUCAUAUUCAGGAAAGCAAAUUUUCUCGGCAUCUUAAUCAAAGACAUCUUGCCCAUGAAAGAAGUGUCAGCGUAGGAAUCAGGAGGACUUCUUCUAAUGUGAGGGGUGACACCAGGAAACCUUUUAUCAUUGAUCGGAAUGCUUCAAAUUUCUUAAAGAAGAAUUCUUCCAAGUAAACCAUUUUUUCUGAUUUCUUGACCGCAGCUGAUUCCUGCAUCUCCAUAUCUGUAUCCGAGUUGGAAUCAUCAUCAUCUUCAGUCGUGUUAACAUGGUUUUUGACCGCAACACCGGUCCUUUCAUCCGGUUCUGUAUUCAGUUGUUGUGCCAAUCGAGUCGCGUUAUCCCGUCCAAAAUGAGUAUCUAGAAGCUGCAUAGGUCAAACACAGAUUUGGAACCUUCUCCAUUUCUUUCCUACAGUGUUUAGGGGUGAUUUUUCCUUUUUAAAAACUAAGUUCUCGGCUUUGAGCUGUGAUAGCUUCUCUAGCUCUACUCCAACUAUUUGGAGCAUUUUUCCAUCCUCUCUUUUAUGGUUUGGACCUCUGAGAUGAUUUUGGGAUUAUCCGCGGGGUGUUAUUAAUUUCUUGGCAUGUGCUCAUCUCAUGAUUUGCCUCUACAUGGCCUUAAUCUAGACUCGCAACUCGUUGUCGGCCGAAAAGGCUAAAGCUUGCUCAUGCUUAUUUCUAGUCAUCGUCAU